rnacentral:rRNA from 1 species
AAAUUGAAGAGUUUGAUCAUGGCUCAGAUUGAACGCUGGCGGCAGGCCUAACACAUGCAAGUCGAACGGUAGCACAGAGAGCUUGCUCUCGGGUGACGAGUGGCGGACGGGUGAGUAAUGUCUGGGAAACUGCCUGAUGGAGGGGGAUAACUACUGGAAACGGUGGCUAAUACCGCAUAACGUCGCAAGACCAAAGAGGGGGACCUUCGGGCCUCUUGCCAUCAGAUGUGCCCAGAUGGGAUUAGCUUGUUGGUGAGGUAACGGCUCACCAAGGCGACGAUCCCUAGCUGGUCUGAGAGGAUGACCAGCCACACUGGAACUGAGACACGGUCCAGACUCCUACGGGAGGCAGCAGUGGGGAAUAUUGCACAAUGGGCGCAAGCCUGAUGCAGCCAUGCCGCGUGUAUGAAGAAGGCCUUCGGGUUGUAAAGUACUUUCAGCGGGGAGGAAGGUGUUGUGGUUAAUAACCGCAGCAAUUGACGUUACCCGCAGAAGAAGCACCGGCU